rnacentral:rRNA from 1 species
UACAGAGGUCUCAAGCGUUGUUCGGAUUCAUUGGGCGUAAAGGGCGCGUAGGCGGCCAUUCAAGUCGGAGGUGAAAGCCCAGGGCUCAACCCUGGAAUUGCCUUCGAUACUGUCUGGCUAGAGACCGGAAGAGGUAAGUGGAACUGCGAGUGUAGAGGUGAAAUUCGUAGAUAUUCGCAAGAACACCAGUGGCGAAGGCGGCUUACUGGUCCGGUUCUGACGCUGAGGCGCGAAAGCGUGGGGAGCAAACAGG